GAUGAACGCUGGCGGCGUGCCUAAUACAUGCAAGUCGAGCGAACGGACGAGAAGCUUGCUUCUCUGAUGUUAGCGGCGGACGGGUGAGUAACACGUGGAUAACCUACCUAUAAGACUGGGAUAACUUCGGGAAACCGGAUCUAAUACCGGAUAAUAUUUUGAACCGCAUGGUUCAAAAGUUAAAGACGGUCUUUCUGUCACUUAUAGAUGGAUCCGCGCUGCAUUAGCUAGUUGGUAAGGUAACGGCUUACCAAGGCAACGAUGCAUAGCCGACCUGAGAGGGUGAUCGGCCACACUGGAACUGAGACACGGUCCAGACUCCUACGGGAGGCAGCAGUAGGGAAUCUUCCGCAAUGGGCGAAAGCCUGACGGAGCAACGCCGCGUGAGUGAUGAAGGUCUUCGGAUCGUAAAACUCUGUUAUUAGGGAAGAACAUAUGUGUAAGUAACUGUGCACAUCUUGACGGUACCUAAUCAGAAAGCCACGGCUAACUACGUG
rnacentral:rRNA from 1 species